ensembl:lncRNA
AUGCUGGUAUCUGGCACAGAGACAGCAGUAAGUCGUAUAAGUUGUAAGCUGUGAUGUGUGAGCCAUAUUUAAGUGUUUUGAUGGUUUGCUUACAUGUUCUCUUUUGUUGGCUUGGUGAGUGUGCGCCCCCUAUAGGUGAUUGGUGUCACCCUAUAAAUCUGUGACUGAGAUGCCUGACGGAAAGGAAGGCAGAGCAGCAAUAGUCAUUGACCUCAGUUGGCGCCUCAGUUGGCACCUGGACACCCAGCCGCCAUUGGGGCGUGUCAGCCAAACGGCCUCGCUCUAUCCUGGGCUCCUAAUAGUUAUUAAUGUGAUGUUUAUGGACUUCAGGCUAUUACUGCAACAUUUCAUUUUGUAUUUCUAUUUAUUCAUAAUAAAUUUCCGGCGAUAUUUUGCAUCAAAUACCCUCUUUGGAAUUCUUGGAAACCAGCUGUGAGUCUGACACUGAAUCUGUCUUCUUCUGUUUGGUAAAGACAUCUGGAAACUGGAAACAAGGGGUUACAGGAUAAACUCAAACAGUUUUACCAUCACAUUACGUCAAUGACGCGCUGUGGAAUUUUUUUGGAAGAAACUUUGGAAUUACGCCUGUUUGGAGACAACAGGAAAUAGUCCUGGGCAUGGAGAGUUGAACAAAGGAAUGCUUCAAUGGAGGUAUGUGCCUUCAAAUGCCAAACUUUGGACGGUCCUUUCGUUAGGAUAUAUUCUUGGGUCAAUUUAGAAGCAAGUUUGGUCUGUGAUUGUUUGGUGGACUGUGAUGGCCAAACAUUUGGAGCUCUGAAAUCAAGGCCUGCUCGAGUGAAUGAAGGUGAAAUGUGAUAUCUUGGUUUUUCUACGCACUGGUUUUGAACUUGUUGGAUUCUGUAGUGUUCAGCGAAAAUAGUUUGAUAUUUUUGUGUUUUUGUGAAAUGAACAGAAUUCCGAACAUGACUGACGUGGCGUGCUGCGUUUGCCCUCAGCCCAAUCUGGGAAAAUGUCUCACAUCACUCGGAGAAGGAACAUUUUGAAUCAUCUAAUGGCCGGAAUGAACGCAAGGACAUUUGCUAUUGCUGACCCACUGAGUAAGCUGAAACCCACCUUUACUGCACAACGAAGUGAGAUCCUUUACCAGCUGGAUGGCAUCAGAUUCUUUGGUUACAGAUUUAGCGCGAAAGGAAGGCAGAGCAGCAAUACAGUCAUUGACCGCAGUUGGCACCUCGACACCCAGCCGCCAUUGGGGCGUGUCAGCCAAACGGCCUCGCUCUAUCCUGGGCUCCUAAUAGUUAUUAAUGUGAUGUUUAUGGACUUCAGGCUAUUACUGCAAAAUUUCAUUUUGUAUUUCUAUUUAUUCAUAAUAAAUUUCCGGCAAUAUUUUGCAUCAAAUACCCUCUUUGGAAUUCUUGGAAACCAGCUGCGAGUCUGACACUGUGGUAAAGACAACUGGAAACAAGGGGUUACAGG